GAAGUUAGAACACCAACAUGUAUAUGGAGAAAAGCUGAAUCAAAGAGAAGAGAGAACAUUUGCUGCGCUAGGAACACUGCAGGACUCAGAUCCAUUAGCUUUACACUGUGGCUUGCACCAUCCUGCCUCUGCUCUGUGCUGGGAGCUCUUGAGAAGAUCCAAAGAGACAAACUCUGACCCUAGAUGUAUGAUCAUCUGCUGCAGGAGAGGAUGCAUACUUCUUCCUCUAAUUAGUUGAAAAAUGAAGAAGGAUUGGCAUAAGCAUUUUCCAGCAUACAUGAAGCUUUGGGAACUAAGAAGAAAAAUA